AAAAAUAUGGUUAAAUUUUAUAUGUUUAUUUAUGCUAUGAUUAUUUUUUUUUCCAUAUUAAUUUCUAUAGCAAAUAGUGUUUGCUUAUUGUGCCGAACUAAAGAGGAUUGUCGAUAUAUUGUGUGUAUCGCUGGUGAUAUUCCAGCAUGUGGGUUUCCAUUUCAUGCGCCCGGAUUUGAGGGAUUUGGAAUUUGUGGAUGUGAGACGGAGGUCCAAAGUACAUUGCACAAAAUUAGUGGCUUGUGAAUGUAUACUUAUGUAUAGGGUUGGGAAUACGCCAGGCGGUUUAUAGGCGCCUUCGGCCUGGCUUGUGUAAGCUUGGUUUGGCCUAGUCUGUUUAUUAAAAAUGUCAGGCUUAGGCUUUGAAAAAAGUCUGUUUGCAUAAAUAGGUCAGGCUAAUGCUUCUAAAAAGGCCUACAAAGCCUGUUUAUAUUUAAUUAUUAUUAUUUAUAUAAUAUUAUUUUU